rnacentral:rRNA from 1 species
AUGCACUGGUACGCAUGGUGGAAGAUAUGUGUACCGAAAUCUCUAGGAGGUAUGGGGUUUCAAGAUUUAUAUUCCUUUAAUCUUGCGAUGCUAGCUAAAUAGUGCUGGGGGCUAAUCACCUGGCCAGAAUCUCUUUGCGCAAAAGUGCUUCAUGCAAAAUAUUAUCCAGAUGGACAACUCCUUCAGGCAAGUCCAAAAAGGGGGUCGUCUUUCAAACGUUUGAACCCACGGAAUUCAAAUUUUCAAAUGGGGAUAUAUAUGGAUAAUUGGUAA